rnacentral:misc_RNA from 1 species
GAUGAAGAACGUAGCGAAAUGCGAUACUUGGUGUGAAUUGCAGAAUCCCGUGAACCAUCGAGUCUUUGAACGCAAGUUGCGCCUCAAGCCAUUAGGUUGAGGGCACGUCUGCCUGGGCGUCACAUAUCGUUGCCUGAUGCCAGUUUCCUCGUGAUGGGUGACUGUGCAGGGCGAAUGAUGGCUUCCCGUGAGCAUUGUUGCCUCAUGGUUGGUUGAAAAUUGAGUCCUUGGUAGGGAGCGCCGUGAUAGAUGGUGGAUGAGUGACGAACGAGACCCAAUCAUGUGAGACCCCUACCGAAUUUGGCCUUCAUGACCCACAUGCGUCUUUGGAACGCUCAUGACGAGACCUCAGGUCAGGCGGGGCUACCCGCUGAGUUUAAGCAUAUCAAUAAGCGGAGGA